rnacentral:rRNA from 1 species
CAAAAAUUUAGGAGGUUUUAGUAUGGUGAUUAGAUGAGGAAGAUAGUCUGGUGUAGUUAUUUUGGUAUUAGAGAGUUUUGAAGAGUUUAUUUAAUAAGGGCUGAGAAGGGCUUUAAAUGUUUUUGUGGUAGUAAUUUUUGUACCUUUUGUAUUAGGGUAUACUAAAAUUAUUGAUUGAUUUUAAUUUCCCGAAAAAGAAUGAGCUAUAUAGCUAGGUUCUUCUUGUGGCAUAAAGAGGGUUAAUAGCUACAUAGUGGUGAGAUGCCUCCCGGAUUCUGAGAUAUCUGGUUCUGGUAGAAAUUAGUGAGGAAAGUAUUAGGUGUAGUCUUAAUAGGAAGAUUAAUAGGGAUAAGCUUAUUAAUCUACCUCUAUAUCUUUUAGGAAUUUUUAAUUUAGGAGGUUUGAGAGUGGCCUUUUGUUUCAUAACAAAAGUUUAAGUUUUAGAUUAGUUAGAUAUACCAGGGUGGUAUUAGUCUUUUAUUACUAGUAAUAAUGGUAUAAUUAGUAGAGGUAUGUAUUGUUUAUUGAAUUGAGUUAAAUGAGGUACGGUAAUGGGAUGCUAGAUGCUAUAAAGGAAUUCGGCAAAUAUUUUUCUUAGCUGUUUAUCAAAAACAUUUCUUUAAGUUGAUGAGUUAAAGUAAAUUCUGCCCCCUGAUGAGAGCUUUAAAGGGCCGCAGUAGCCUGACUGUGCUAAGGUAGCAUAAUCAUUAGGUUCUUAAUUAGGAUCUGGUAUGAAUGGAUAAAUAGGGAGAUUCUGUCUUUUUGUAAAGUUUGAAAUUAAAUUUUUAGUAAGAAUGCUAGGAUGAUUCUAUGGGACGAUAAGACCCUAUAAAGCUUUAUUGAAUUUUUUAUAAAAAUUUUUACUAAUUUUAUAUGGAUUUUAAUUUGACUGGGGCGGUAGCUAGUUAACUUAGUUUAGGUUAGAGUUGUGUGGGUCCAUUUUUAAUGAGAUAAGAUUUAGUUACUUUAGGGAUAACAGCAUAAUAUACCUAUGGAGUUCUAAUCGAAGGGUAUGAUUGUGACCUCGAUGUUGAAUUAAUUUAAUUGUGGGGUGGAGACGCUUCAUGAGUUAGUCUGUUCGACUAUUGAAUGAUUACAUGAUUUGAGUUCAAACCGGUUUAAGCCAGGUUGG